UUAAGUAGCAAAGAGCUUAUAGAGGAUACCUUGGCACUUAUUGGCGAUGAAGGACGUAUUAAGCAACGAAACGCUUCAGUGAGCUGCAAAAAAGCUUUGACCUGAAGAUCUCCGAAUAGGGCAACCUUAAAAACUGCUUGAUGAAUUUAUAGUCAAGUAAGAGCAAACCCAGUGAAUUGAAACAUCUUAGUAGCUGGAGGAAUAAAAAGCAAAAGCGAUUUUCUUAGUAGCGGCGAGCGAAAUGGAAUAAGUCUAAACCGUAUUUGCGGUGUUGUGGGACAGAUUUUUAGUGUUUGGUUGAAGGAGAAUCUGUUGGAAGGCAGAGCGUUAACAGGUGAUAGCCCUAUAUCUUUAUGACCGUAUACUUAUUUUGUAUCCCAAGUAGCAUAGAGCACGUGGAAUUCUGUGUGAAUCUACGAGGACCACCUCGUAAGACUAAAUACGAAUAAGUGACCGAUAGUGAACAAGUACUGUGAAGGAAAGGUGAAAAGAACCUCGGGAGAGGAGUGAAAUAGAUCAUGAAACUAUAAGCUUACAAGCAGUAGGAGGUUUUCUUAAAGAUUGACUAUGUGCCUGUUGAAGAAUGUGUUGGCGACUUUUAGGUAGUGGC
rnacentral:rRNA from 16 species